UACGGAGGGUCCCAAGCGUUAUCCGGAUUUAUUGGGUUUAAAGGGUCCGCAGGCGGGAAAAUAAGUCAGUGGUGAAAUCCUACAGCUUAACUGUAGAACUGCCAUUGAUACUGUUUUUCUUGAGUAUAAUUGAAGUGGGCGGAAUGUGUCAUGUAGCGGUGAAAUGCAUAGAUAUGACACAGAACACCGAUUGCGAAGGCAGCCCCUGGGAGUAACACUGACGCUCAUGCACGAAA
rnacentral:rRNA from 1 species